rnacentral:rRNA from 1 species
GAUGAACGCUAGCGGCAGGCCUAAUACAUGCAAGUCGAACGGUGUCUUCGGACAUAGUGGCGCACGGGUGCGUAACACGUACGCAACCUACCUUACAUUGGGGGAUAGCCUUUCGAAAGGGAGAUUAAUACCGCAUAAGACAGUAGCUGGGCAUCCAGCAGCUGUUAAAGAUUUAUCGAUGUAAGCUGGGCAUGCGUCCAAUUAGCUAGUCGGGGAGGUAACGGCUCACCAAGGCAAUGAUUGGUAGGGGAACUGAGAGGUCAAUCCCCCACACUGGGACUGAGAUCCGGGCCAGACUCCUGCGGGAGGCAGCAGUAGGGAAUAUUGGGCAGUGGACGCAAGUCUGACCCAGCCAUGCCGCGUGCAGGAUGAAGGCGUUAUGCGUUGUAAACUGCUUUUAUACAGGAAGAAACGACUCUUGCGAGAGGCAUUGACGGUACUGUAUGAAUAAGCACCGGCUAACUCCGUGCCAGCAGCCGCGGUAAAAC